CUUGCCGAAAGUUGCUAAAGAAAAAGAAAAGAAAAGAGCUUUGAAGCAUUCGGCCAUUACUAAGCUCAAUCAAGAUCAUGAACCAAAGAAAACGGAUUUGGAUCGGGGAAAAACAAAAACAAUCGAAUAGUUGUUUAUUCCGUCCGUCGAUAUCCGAGAUUUGGAAGUUGGUUAUGAGCUCGACGAUCGUCAGAGAAGUCUAUCACACUAUCGAGUACUGUUUUCGGUAUUUUACUAAGUUUGAAAUUGAACUUAUGGCAUGUAUAGUCUAGUUAAUAUGUUUGAUUUCGGGUAUGUUAAUAUGAGUCAUGCGAAAAUGGCUUAUUUAUUUUAUUAAGCAUGGUUUUUAUGCUUUUGAUCAAGUGUUAGAUAUGUUGAUUUUGGUAU